rnacentral:rRNA from 1 species
GACGAACGCUGGCGGCGUGCUUAACACAUGCAAGUCGAGCGGAAAGGCCCCUUCGGGGGUACUCGAGCGGCGAACGGGUGAGGAACACGUGAGUAAUCUGCCCUUCACUUUGGGAUAACCCCCGGAAACGGGAGCUAAUACCGGAUACGACCACACCACGCAUGUGGUGGUGGUGGAAACUUUUUUGGGUGGUGGAUGUGCUCGCGGCCUAUCAGCUUGGUGGUGGGGUAAUGGCCUACCAAGGCUUUGACGGGUAGCCGGCCUGAGAGGGUGACCGGCCACACUGGGACUGAGACACGGUCCAGACUCCUACGGGAGGCAGCAGUGGGGAAUAUUGGACAAUGGGCGGAAGCCUGAUCCAGCAACGCCGCGUGAGGGAUGACGGCCUUCGGGUUGUAAACCUCUUUCAGCACCGACGAAGCGCAAGUGACGGUAGGUGCAGAAGAAGGACCGGCCAACUACGUGCCAGCAGCCGCCGUAACAC